rnacentral:rRNA from 1 species
UACGUAGGUGGCAAGCGUUAUCCGGAUUUACUGGGUGUAAAGGGCGUGUAGGCGGGACUGCAAGUCAGAUGUGAAAACCAUGGGCUCAACCCAUGGCCUGCAUUUGAAACUGUAGUUCUUGAGUGAUGGAGAGGCAGGCGGAAUUCCGUGUGUAGCGGUGAAAUGCGUAGAUAUACGGAGGAACACCAGUGGCGAAGGCGGCCUGCUGGACAUUAACUGACGCUGAGGCGCGAAAGCGUGGGUAUCGAACAGG